UACGUAGGGAGCUAGCGUUGUCCGGAAUCAUUGGGCGUAAAGCGCGCGUAGGCGGCCAGAUAAGUCCGGUGUGAAAGUCACAGGCUCAACCUGUGAAUGCCGCUGGAAACUGUCUGGCUUGAGUCCGGAAGGGGCGAGUGGAAUUCCUGGUGUAGCGGUGAGAUGCGCAGAUAUCAGGAGGAACACCGGUGGCGAAGGCGGGUCUCUGGGCAGUAACUGACGCUGAGGAGCGAAAGCGUGGGGAGCGAACAGG
rnacentral:rRNA from 1 species